rnacentral:lncRNA from 1 species
UCCUUAUUUUACACAACAGGAAGCUGAGGCCCAGAGAGGUCAAGCGACUUGCAGAAGGUCACACAGCCAAUGCGAGCCAAGAUUCCAUGCCUGGUCCACUUGACUCCAAGCUCCACCCACACAGCGAAUGCUCGUAAAAGCAAAGUCACCCUAAGUGGCAAUGCCCUUCAGGUCUGGCUGCCAGGUAUGCCAGUCUCCUGUCUUCCGGAAGUCUGUCCUGUCAGCAUUUGAGGAAAGGCAUGGGUGGGGCCAGGGAAGCUCACUUCGUGGGCCAGAUUCGUGUGCUGGGUGCACGCCAUUAAAGGUUUUUUUCCUGGUUGGACUGCCUCCUUGGAAGGAAGAGAAUCCUGCUCUCGUCUUUUCAGGAAUUUGCCAGAGUUUGGUAGGUGUGCACGUAACGCUUUUUUUUUUUUUUUUUAAUUAAACAAAAUCUCAAAUUUACCGAAAACUUUUAGCACAAAUUACAUACUUUUCUCCUGGAACCACUUGAGGGUCAGUUGUGGACCUGACGCUCCAUCGGCCCUGGCGACUCUGGUGUAUUUCCUACAGGUAAGGACGUUCUCCUGUUCGGCCGUCACACCACCGUCGCCCCCAGUCAGCGGUUGAGCAGGACACUGCACAGCAACUGAGGUCGGGCCGGCUGUCCCAGGCGUUCCUUCAUAGCAAACAGAUCCAGCUCAGGUUUGCAGGCGGCAUUUGGUUGUCUCGUGUCCUUAGUCGCCCUCGGUCUGGAACAGUCCCUCAGUCUUGCCUUCCACGACCUUGACUUGUGGGGAUUAGCAGCUGGUUGUUCUUGACUCUGACACUUCUGGCGAUUAUGGGCGGGUGAUUUUGCCGACGCCGUGUGGGUGCGGCUGCUGUUCCCUGGGGAUUAGGUUCAGGUUAAAUGUCUUGGCAGGAAUAGCCCACAAGUGCUACUUAAGGUGGCUCAUGACUUCAGUUCGCCCCAUUAAUAGGAAGCUCACUUUGAUCGUUUGGUUAAAUAGAUUCUGCCAGGCUUUUUGUCUGCAGAGUUCGUCUGUUUCCCUCUGCAGGUAAUAACUACUUUGUGGGGUGGUAUGUUGAAACUGUGUGACUAGCCCCAGUCCUCGUCAGACUUGCCAUUUAUUCAUCCAUAUCAGCGUGGCCUCGUGGGUUAUAGUCGAUCUGGUGCUCAAAUUGGGUCAGAUUUGGCCAAUGGAGAGCCC